rnacentral:rRNA from 1 species
GAUGAACGCUGGCGGCGUGCUUAACACAUCCAAGUCGAGCGAAGCACUUAGGAAAGAUUCUUCGGAUGAUUUACUAUUUGACUGAGCGGCGGACGGGUGAGUAACGCGUGGGUAACCUGCCUCAUACAGGGGGAUAACAGUUAGAAACGACUGCUAAUACCGCAUAAGACCACAGCACCGCAUGGUGCAGGGGUAAAAACUCCGGUGGUAUGAGAUGGACCCGCGUCUGAUUAGUUAGUUGGUGGGGUAACGGCCUACCAAGGCGACGAUCAGUAGCCGACCUGAGAGGGUGACCGGCCACAUUGGGACUGAGACACGGCCCAAACUCCUACGGGAGGCAGCAGUGGGGAAUAUUGCACAAUGGGGGAAACCCUGAUGCAGCGACGCCGCGUGAGCGAAGAAGUAUUUCGGUAUGUAAAGCUCUAUCAGCAGGGAAGAAAAUGACGGUACCUGACUAAGAAGCCCCGGCUAACUACGUGCCAGCCGCCGCAGUAA